rnacentral:rRNA from 1 species
AGUGAACGCUGGCGGUAGGCCUAACACAUGCAAGUCGAACGGCAGCACAGUAAGAGCUUGCUCUUACGGGUGGCGAGUGGCGGACGAGUGAGGAAUACAUCGGAAUCUACUUUUUCGUGGGGGAUAACGUAGGGAAACUUACGCUAAUACCGCAUACGACCUACGGGUGAAAGCAGGGGAUCUUCGGACCUUGCGCGAUUGAAUGAGCCAAUGUCGGAUUAGCUAGUUGGCGGGGUAAAGGCCCACCAAGGCGACGAUCCGUAGCUGGUCUGAGAGGAUGAUCAGCCACACUGGAACUGAGACACGGUCCAGACUCCUACGGGAGGCAGCAGUGGGGAAUAUUGGACAAUGGGCGCAAGCCUGAUCCAGCCAUACCGCGUGGGUGAAGAAGGCCUUCGGGUUGUAAAGCCCUUUUGUUGGGAAAGAAAAGCAGCAGGUUAAUACCCCGCUGUUCUGACGGUACCCAAAGAAUAAGCACCGGCUAACUUCGUG